rnacentral:rRNA from 1 species
GACUCGUCACACUAUCAUUAACUGAAUCCAUAGGUUAAUGAGGCGAACCGGGGGAACUGAAACAUCUAAGUACCCCGAGGAAAAGAAAUCAACCGAGAUUCCCCCAGUAGCGGCGAGCGAACGGGGAGGAGCCCAGAGCCUGAAUCAGCAUGUGUGUUAGUGGAAGCGUCUGGAAAGGCGCGCGAUACAGGGUGACAGCCCCGUACACAAAAGCGCAUGUGCUGUGAGCUCGAUGAGUAGGGCGGGACACGUGGUAUCCUGUCUGAAUAUGGGGGGACCAUCCUCCAAGGCUAAAUACUCCUGACUGACCGAUAGUGAACCAGUACCGUGAGGGAAAGGCGAAAAGAACCCCGGCGAGGGGAGUGAAAAAGAACCUGAAACCGUGUACGUACAAGCAGUGGGAGCCCCACCACUAAGCCAGUGGUGAACUCCACAUACGCAUCCUUUGCUGAGGAUACGGUUAACGGAGCGAAAGCGACGUUCAACCGCAAAAGAAGCAGAGGGGGCUUAGUGGUGGGGUGACUGCGUACCUUUUGUAUAAUGGGUCAGCGACUUAUAUUCUGUAGCAAGGUUAACCGUAUAGGGGAGCCGGAGGGAAACCGAGUCUUAACCGGGCGUUAAGUUGCAGGGUAUAGACCCGAAACCCGGUGAUCUAGCCAUGGGCAGGUUGAAGGUUGGGUAACACUAACUGGAGGACCGAACCGACUAAUGUUGAAAAAUUAGCGGAUGACCUGUGGCUGGGGGUGAAAGGCCAAUCAAACC